AUCCAGAUGAUCAGUCCCAAAUGGGACGAAAUGCGCAUUUUGGAU
rnacentral:hammerhead_ribozyme from 1 species